UUCAAAUUAAUUUCAACUGCUUAUAUGUUUAAUUGCUUUUACCAGCUUUCUGAAUCAACGAUUGCCCAUGUGACUGUUGAAUAUAAUUGUCAGAAGAACUUUUAGAUGUUAGAAACGAUUCUAUUUUACAGACUCUCCAGCUUAUAUAUUGAUUUACGAAAACGAUUCCAUGCGAGGAAAAGAUUCUGUGUAUAAAUGUUAUCCAUUACAUUCUAAGAGUGUAUAAAAGUGCGAGAACGAAUUUCAAAUUAACGAAUUAUUUUGUAAGAGAGAUGAGAAGGAGUGGAGAUCGAAUACGCUUCGUGUCAGAAUGUCGUCGCUAUCAAUGUUCUGUUUAUCUUUCAAAUGACUAUAAAUCACGGCGUUGACGGAUCGUUGGAAAAAAAAAAAAAAGAAAAAAGAAAAAAAAACAAAACAAAAUGAGCAG